AGAGGUAUAGCAUAGUUGGUAAAAGGUUUGUUUAGUAUUUGAGAGGUCAUGGGUUCAAUCCCCCAUGCCUCCA